GACGAACGCUGGCGGCGUGCUUAACACAUGCAAGUCGAGCGGUAAGGCCCUUUCGGGGGUACACGAGCGGCGAACGGGUGAGUAACACGUGGGUGACCUGCCCUCAGCUCUGGGAUAAGCCUGGGAAACCGGGUCUAAUACUGGAUAUGACUCCAUGACGCAUGUUGUGGGUGGAAAGCCUUGUGCGGCUGAGGAUGGGCCCNCGGCCUAUCAGCUUGUUGGUGGGGUGANGGGCCUACCGAAGGCGACGACGGGUAGCCGGCCUGAGAGGGCGACCGGCACACGUGGGACUGAGACACGGG
rnacentral:rRNA from 1 species